CAUGGUUGCUGAGGGAUGGCUGAUGCUUGGCUCUUUCAGAAGAACAGCCGAGAAGUGGUGGCCAUCAAGUGCGUGAACAAGAGAAGCCUAAACAGGGCAUCCGUAGAGAACCUGCUGACAGAGAUCAAGAUCCUGAAAACUAUCCGCCACCCACAUAUCGUGGAGCUGAAGGACUUUCAGUGGGACAGCGACAACAUCUACCUCAUCAUGGAGUUCUGUGCAGGGGGGGAUCUGUCUCGUUUUAUCCGGACACGGAGGAUACUCUCGGAGAAGGUGGCACGGAUCUUCCUGCAGCAGCUUGCAUCUGCCCUGAAGUUCCUUCAUGACAAGAACAUCUCCCACCUGGACCUGAAGCCUCAAAACAUCCUCCUCAGCUCCCUGGAGAAUCCUCAGCUCAAACUGGCAGAUUUUGGCUUUGCCCAGCACAUGUCUCCAUGGGAUGAGAAACAUGUUCUCCGGGGCUCCCCGCUCUACAUGGCUCCUGAAAUGGUGUGCAACCGGCAGUACGAUGCUCGUGUGGACCUGUGGUCUGUGGGUGUGAUUCUCUAUGAGGCAUUGUUCGGGAGACCACCUUUUGCCUCCAAAUCAUUUGCUGAGCUGGAGGAGAAAAUCCGCAGCAACCGGACAAUUGAGCUGCCCAGCCGGCCCUGGCUUUCCCAGGAGUGCCGGGAUCUUCUGCAGCGCCUCCUGGAAAGGGACCCCCUGAAGCGCAUCUCCUUCAAGGAGUUCUUCAGCCACCCAUUCGUGGACAUGGAGCACAUGCCCAGCGCUGAGAGCCUGAGCAAAGCAACUGCCCUGGUAGUGGAGGCUGUGAAGAAAGAUCAGCAGGGAGAUGCCUCUGCUGCCCUCUCUCUCUACUGCAAGGCCCUGGAGUAUUUUGUCCCUGCUCUGCACUAUGAAACCGACGCUCGCAGAAAGGAAGCGAUCAAGUCAAAGGUGAAUCAAUACAUUUCGCGAGCGGAGGAGCUGAAGGUGCUGGUUGCAUCCAACAACAAGACCCUCCUGCAGCAGGGCCACCCCACCAGGGAUAUCCUCAAAGAAAUGUCCAAGGACAAGCCUCGCCUGUAUGCAGCGCUGGAGGUGGCGUCAGCAGCCAUCGCUAAGGAGGAGGAGGGCAAGGACGACUGUGACACCCUUGACCUCUACCAGCAGAGUCUGGGAGAGCUACUGGUCAUGUUGGCUGCAGAGCCUACGGGGAGGAGGAGAGAGCUGCUUCACGCCGAGCAUUGCGCUCAGCGAUCAGUGACUGACUAUGUCUCUGUCAGAUUCAGACCCUGAUGGGCCGGGCCGAAUACUUGAAAGAACAGAUCAAGAUGAGGGAGGCGCAGUGGGAGGCACGGUCCAUGGGCAAGGAGAUGCUGUCGGAUUCUGUCCGGACCUCCUGUACUCUGCAGUAGUCCUCAAGUAAGUGUGGAAUCAAUACAGCACCCACAGGCGACAGAUGUGGACAAACCUCUUCUCAUUGGACUUCCCAUUCAGGAAUUGUGCACAAAUAUAUCACCUUGUGAUUGUCUUUAAACAGAGGCCCCCCCAGGUGAUCUUAGACGCCUUAUUUAUAGAAUACAGGUUUCUAUCCAGACUCUCACUAUAUGCACUGUAACAUGAUUGUAUGUUUGUACAUAUCUGUAUAUAUGGCAAGAGAGAGAGAGAGAGUGUGUGUGUGUGUGUGUG